ensembl:lncRNA
CUGAUCUCACCCUAUUCUGCAUAAACAUGACAGCGCUUUAUAACCAAUAUAAACAUAAUAAAUAUACUUACACACACACACUAACAAACACCUACUGUACACAUCAAAAUAGUUUAGUCAGGUUUGUCUGGUGAUUACUUGACUGAUCAUAGCUAACUUAUUUUUACCCACAACGUAUGUAUGUCCACCGUGAUGGAUUUAACAAUGAAGUCAUUAUGUAACUGCAGUAUAGGACUCAAAUGUAGUGGGGAUGGGUAAACACUCCAUGUUGAAAGUACCUGUAUGUCUGUGUAAUCUGUAUCACCUCUCUCUUCCAGGAGGAGGAGGGUCCAGAGGUGCUGCUGGUGAAGGAGGAGGGGUGUGAGGAGGGUCUGGGGAACCCUGAGGGGACCAUGGUCAUGGAGGACAACCAGACUUGUUAGGGAAGAUUCAGAAUUUGUUGGUAACAUAUAGGAAAUUUCCACGACAGACUACACCACCUCCUGAAACCACAGAUGAACCAGCUGAGCAGCACAGGACCACACACAGUCUCACUGAGUCAGUAGACAUGGAGGAUGGGAAGCCUAAUCUGCUGCUGGUCAAAGAGGAGACAGGAGAAGACAGACCAGCGAACACUGAUCUGCUGAGUGGACUAAAGAUGGGGAGCAAGGCAGUUGGCUGGAGGCUAACAGAGGAGACUGGGUGGCCAUUUUGGAACCCAGACGGGUGCAGCCAAGGGCCCAGGGGACAACAUCACCAAGCAAGCCAGGACCAGAGGCAACAUAGUUCAGGUCUGUGGAUGGCACAGCUCCCUUAACUCUGGGCUGGGGAACAACACCGUUAACCAUGCCCAGAAACAGACAGUAGAACAGAAACAACCAAACUUAGUCUCCAUGACAACAGAUUGGCUGAGACCAGGGUGUUGCGUAGAUUUGGUCCGCGGGGACAGGGAGGUGUCUGUAUGCUGCGGGAGAGAACAGACUGACUCGGCUAAUAAUGCUCCGUCCUGCUCCUAUAGUUGUGAUUCAGAGAGACUGAUGGCGCCUCAGGUUAACCCCCUAACAGAUGCUGCCUUCAGCCUGCCUUCUAUAGGAUCUAUCAACUAGACCCUGCGACAACACAGACACUCCCUGGCUUUCGUCCUCCUCACACUCUCCUAAUGUUAAACCAGACCUCGGACAACGCCUGUGCCUCAACACUAAAUGGCUACAGAAGCCUAUUGACAAAGGACAGGAGUAAUAAUUCUAUUAGUAGAUCCGGUGGCAUAGAAAAGCGCUUCCCUUGUCCUUUCUGGGGAAAAGCCUUCAAUUUCUCCGAACAUGUGGAAAUCCACCAGAGGAUGCACACGGGGGAGAAAGUAGUCGGCUUACACGUGUGCCGGGCCAAUUUCUCCCACUCGUACUAGCUGAAGAGGUGCCAGAGGGUCCACACGGAAGAAAUUAUACAGCUUCUCCAAGUGUGAGAAGAGGUUCUCCCACCAGCACCAGUUGAAGAGUGCACCUGAAGAUGUUGUUUGCCUGUAUGCACUGCCGGAAGAGGUUCUCAGAGAGGAGCUACCUCAGAAUACUCCAGCAGAAAAUGCACACAAGCCAUGUACACUGAAUGUACAAAACAUUAGGAACAUCUUUCUAUUAUUGCGUUGCAUCCCCUUUUGCCCCCGGAAAAGCUUCAAUUCGUUGGGGCAUUGACUCUACAAGAUGUCAAAAGUAUUGGAGGGGACUCCAAUACUUUUCACAAUUGUGUCAAGUUGUCUUUUGGGUGGUGGACCAUUCUUGAUACACACAGGAAACUGUUGAGCAUGAAAAACCCAGCAGCUUUGCAGUUUUUGACACACUUAAAUACAUGAGCCUGGCACCUACCUACUACCAUACCCCAUUCAAAGGUAAUGUUUCACUGGUGAGGAGUGACAUCUGUCAAUUUACAUGAAGUAGUGAAGAUGUGUGUAAUGUUGAACCUUUUCCAAAGUGUUCUAAAAUGUAAAGUGUUUCCAAAUUGUGUUACGUUACAGCCUUAUUCUAAAAUGGAUGAAAUACAUUUUUUUUCCUCAACAAUCUACACACAAUACCCCAUAAUGACAAGCAAAAACAGUAAAUAUCACAUUUACAUAAGUAUUCAGACCCUUUACUCAUGACGUUAAAGCACCUUUGUCAGUGAUUACAGUCUCAAGUUGUUUUAGGUAUGCCGUUCAAAGCUUGAAACACCUGUAUUUGGAGAGUUUGUCCCAUUCUGUUCUGCAUAUCCU